UAAUAAAAAAAGAGUUAAUAUUAUUAAAAAGAAUAAACAAAGUACACGAAGAAGAAGAAAAGGCAAUAAAUGACCUGUUCAUCUUGUUCCCUUACUGCAUCUUUCUCACAGUUCUUCACUUCCAGAAGAAGCCGAGGCAGAGAUAUGAGUUGUCCGACUUUGCUGCUUUCUAAUCCGAGAAAGCAUGCUACUUUACGACUCUCCAAAGUUUCCGGUCACACAACUGAAUUGUUAGAGAUUCAAUCUGAUAAACCCACCUUUCAUGUUCUCUUUAUCCCUGGAAACCCAGGUGUUGUUUCGUUUUACAAGGAUUUCUUGGAAUCCCUGUAUGAGUUGCUUGGUGGAAGUGCUUCUGUUACAGCUAUUGGGCACAUAUCUCAUACUGAAAAGAAUUGGGAGCACGGGAAGUUGUUCUCAUUACAAGAUCAAAUUGAUCAUAAGGUGGAUUUCAUCAAGCAGGAACUGCAAAAUAAUGAACUUCCUAUAGUACUGGUUGGGCACUCUAUUGGUUCCUACAUAUCACUUGAAAUACUAAGGUUUCUAGAGAAGGUUACAUAUUUGAUAGGACUAUACCCUUUUUUAAUGUUGAAUCCACUAUCAAAGCAACAGUCUAAUAUCGAGAAUGUGGCAGAGUCCUCUAUUUUGUCUGCUUUACUUAGUUUCAGUGUAGCAUCCUUGGGAUUGCUACCUCAGUGCACUUUAAGGUUUAUCCUGUCAAAAUCUCUUGGGAGUUCAUGGUCUGAUACUGCUAUUGAUGCUGCUUGUAGUCACUUGCUGCAGUACCAUACCUUCCGAAACAUGCUUUACAUGGCAUUGAUGGAAUUCAGAAAGCUUUCAGAAAUGCCAGAUUGGGCUUUCAUGAGAGAGAAUCACGAGAAAAUUGCUUUCUUAUUUGGUGUUGAUGACCACUGGGGUCCGCUGCAAAUGUUUGAAGAGAUUUCGAAGCAGGUUCCUGGUAUUUCUCUAUCAAUUGAAAGGGAAGGCCAUACUCAUAGUUUCUGUUGCACUGAGGCUGGCUCAGAAUGGGUUGCCCACCAUGUAGCGAGCUUGAUUAAGAAAAAAAUAUCAAGCUGAGGUAAAAAGGUCAACUGCCUUUUCAUUUUUCUGAUUUACAGUCAUCUAUUGUCCCUGAUUUACAGGGAAGUUGGACAGCUGAUCGCACCGACUCCCAUUCUUUUACAGGCGAUCACUCUUGAAAGCUGACCUCGUUCCUAUAUUUUUGAUGACUCGUCAACCAUGUAAUUUCAACAGUGAUCGUCUUGUUUUUGCUUUGAAAAACUUGUCUAUGCAACUGCUAUCUUAAGAUUCAACACUGAGUAAAUUGUCAUGUACAAAUACUGUUUGCAUUUCUUCUGCAAAUGUGCCAUUAACCAGAUGCAUUUAGCCCCACCUUUCACGUUCUCUUUUCAUCAGUCAUCAUGAUGUUUGAUGGAGCGGACUGUAACUACUUGAUAUACUGUAGAGGCAAUUUGAGCGCCUUUACGCUGUUUGUUUUUCUGUAUCUUUCUAACUUCUGAGGUAAUUAGAGUCGCGACGAAUUUG